rnacentral:rRNA from 1 species
ACGAACGCUGGCGGCGUGCUUAACACAUGCCAGUCGAACGAAGAGCGAUGGAAGCUUGCUUCUAUCAAUCUUAGUGGCGAACGGGUGAGUAACGCGUAAUCAACCUGCCCUUCAGAGGGGGACAACAGUUGGAAACGACUGCUAAUACCGCAUACGAUCUAAUCUCGGCAUCGAGGAUAGAUGAAAGGUGGCCUCUAUGUAUAAGCUAUCACUGAAGGAGGGGAUUGCGUCUGAUUAGCUAGUUGGAGGGGUAACGGCCCACCAAGGCGAUGAUCAGUAGCCGGUCUGAGAGGAUGAACGGCCACAUUGGGACUGAGACACGGCCCAGACUCCUACGGGAGGCAGCAGUGGGGAAUCUUCCGCAAUGGACGAAAGUCUGACGGAGCAACGCCGCGUGAGUGAUGACGGCCUUCGGGUUGUAAAGCUCUGUUAAUCGGGACGAAAGGCCUUCUUGCGAAUAGUGAGAAGGAUUGACGGUACCGGAAUAGAAAGCCACGGCUAACUACGUG